GCUGCAAGAAGGCGGCAGCGGCCGCCUGGUGCUGCUGCUGGAGCUGCGGGCUGACGGGUGACCUCCGGCUCUGAGGCUGCUGCGGCGCCGCGGGCGGCGGGGGCUGCUGCUGCUGAGAUUCAUGAACAGUGAGAUUCGAGGCUGAAACUGACCUACUAAAUUGGAGUCCUACAUGCUGCAACAUCGCCUUGCUAGUCUGGUCAUGGGUGGAGCCCUGGGAUGCAUGUGGGAUAUAGAGUCUUGUUUCCUGUGAGUCCAGUUGUCUGUCUUACUGCUCAAGAAGAUAGAAUGCAUCAGCAAGUGGCUAGAGAGGCGGGCUGUGGAAGAAGCGGAAAUACCUCUUGACUAGCUGGACAUGUUUCCUUGAGGGAUUUAGGAACUUCAUUCUGUCACUCUGCAGAAGCUGAAUCUUCAGCCCCACUCCAGACUCAGAGAUCAGGAGCCUUAUGACUACAGCCCCUCUCACUCAUUUGUGUCUUUGUUCCACUCCUCAUUCAAGAAAGUUUUUCCCUAUCACUUCUAUUUGUUUGGAGCAGAGGAACAAAGUAUGAAUUCAAUACACCAUCAUCACAGAAAGUCUAAAUAUUGAUUCAUCAAAAAUUAACCAGAUGUCAGCAACAAAAACAAAAGCCAACAACCAAAGGAAAACCCAUGCCCUUUCACCUGGUAAAAAGCGCUGGAAGCAGAGGACUCUGAGAUAUUAAGAAGUGACAGAACUGUAAGAUGCAAAAUUCCUGCGUUCCUGAAUCACCAUGUGGAGGAAAGUUAUCUACUGAUCAGGAACACCCACAUCGGAUUCUUACCUGAGAAAUAAAUGAACUUCCAUUGUGUUAA